UUGUUUUUUUUGGUCCAAGAUCAUGAAUAGCAUGUGUUCUUAUCAUUUAUUGUUUUGUAAAUCCUCUACCUGAGGGUAUUUUAUGAAGUGGAUUUUUGGAACAGGGAGAUUGAGGGGAGGCUGGCUCCGUCCGUUCCACAGACCAAUCUGAGAGCACAGUACCUCCGUGAAUGGUAUGGGUCUC
rnacentral:snRNA from 1 species